CCUUAACAUUCCAUUUUUUAGUAAAUUCAUCAAAUUUAGCAAAUUCAACUUUUCUUUUGUAAAAAGGGGUGAUAUUAAAAUGAGUAACAUAGUCAUCCAAGUAUUGAAUGAAUAGUUUUUUUGGUAUAUAAGUAGGUGAAGAAGAAGGAAAAGGAAUAUAAGGAAGUUGACAAAAUUGUUUAGCUAAAUGAAGAUGAACUCUAUCAUAAGAAUAUUUUUUCCACAUAGGAGAGUAACAAUCUUCUUUUUCAAGAAUGAGAUUUGGUAUACAUAAUUUAUUUAGACAUGCAGAUGUAGCAAGACCACCAGGCCCACCACCAACAAUGAUAACCAUAGG